rnacentral:rRNA from 1 species
UUAAGUGACUAAGCGUACACGGUGGAUGCCUUGGCAGUUGGAGGCGAUGAAGGACGUAUUAACUUGCGAUAAGCCUAGUCAAGCUAGUAAAAAGCGCUUGAGACUAGGAUUUCCGAAUGGGGAAACCCACCUGCUUGCAGGUAUCUUACACUGAAUACAUAGGUGUAAGAGGCGAACGCGGAGAACUGAAACAUCUAAGUACCCGUAGGAACAGAAAUCAACCGAGAUUCCGGAAGUAGCGGCGAGCGAAACCGGACCAGCCCUUAAGCUUAUUAUGUGUUAGUGGAACAUUCUGGAAAGUUUGACGAUACAGGGUGAUAGUCCCGUACACGAAAAUGCAUCUUAAGUGAAAUCGAGUAGGUCGGAGCACGUGAAACUUUGACUGAAUAUAGGUGGACCAUCAUCUAAGGCUAAAUACUCCCAACUGACCGAUAGUGAACCAGUACCGUGAGGGAAAGGCGAAAAGAACCCCUGUGAGGGGAGUGAAAUAGAACCUGAAACCGUGUACGUACAAGCAGUAGGAGCCCUUCGAGGGUGACUGCGUACCUUUUGUAUAAUGGGUCAGCGACUUAUAUUUUGUAGCGAGGUUAACCGAUUAGGGUAGCCGUAGGGAAACCGAGUCUUAACUGGGCGUAUAGUUGCAAGGUAUAGACCCGAAACCCGGUGAUCUAGCCAUGGGCAGGUUGAAGGUUGAGUAACAUCAACUGGAGGACCGAACCCACUAACGUUGAAAAGUUAGGGGAUGACCUGUGGCUAGGAGUGAAAGGCUAAUCAAACCGGGAGAUAGCUGGUUCUCCCCGAAAUCUAUUUAGGUAGAGCCUCGGACGAAUACUUACGGGGGUAGAGCACUGUUAAGGCUAGGGGGUCAUCCCGACUUACCAACCCUUUGCAAACUCCGAAUACCGUAAAGUACUAUCCGGGAGACACACGGCGGGUGCUAACGUCCGUCGUGAAGAGGGAAACAACCCAGACCGCCAGCUAAGGUCCCAAAGUCAUAGUUAAGUGGGAAACGAUGUGGAAAGGCCCAGACAGCCAGGAGGUUGGCUUAGAAGCAGCCAUCCUUUAAAGAAAGCGUAAUAGCUCACUGGUCGAGUCGGUCUGCGCGGAAGAUGUAACGGGGCUAAACUAUGCACCGAAGCUGCGGAUUCAAACUUUGUUUGAGUGGUAGGGGAGCGUUCUGUAAGCCGUUGAAGGUGAACCGGGAGGUUUGCUGGAGGUAUCAGAAGUGCGAAUGCUGACAUGAGUAACGAUAAUGCGGGUGAAAAACCCGCACGCCGGAAGACCAAGGGUUCCUAUCCCAUGUUAAUCAGGGUAGGGUAAGUCGACCCCUAAGGCGAGGCCGAAAGGCGUAGUCGAUGGGAAACGGGUUAAUAUUCCCGUACUUGGUAUAAUUGCGAUGGGGGGACGGAGCAGGCUAAACAAGCAUGGCGUUGGUUGUCCAUGUGAAAGUGAGUAGGUUGGUGACUUAGGAAAAUCCGGGUUGCUAAGACUGAGACACGAGACGAGCACCCAAGGGUGUGAAGUUGUUGAUGCCAUACUUCCAGGAAAAGCCUCUAAGCUUCAGAUUAUACCGAAUCGUACCCCAAACCGACACAGGUGGUCAGGUAGAGAAUACUAAGGCGCUUGAGAGAACUCGGGUGAAGGAACUAGGCAAAAUUGUACCGUAACUUCGGGAGAAGGUACGCUCCUAUCUGUGAUGAGACUUGCUCUCUAAGCGGACGGGAGCCGCAGUGACCAGGUGGCUGGGACUGUUUAUUAAAAACACAGCACUGUGCAAAAUCGCAAGAUGACGUAUACGGUGUGACACCUGCCCGGUGCCGGAAGGUUAAUUGAUGGGGUUAGUUUUCGGACGAAGCUCUUGAUCGAAGCCCCGGUAAACGGCGGCCGUAACUAUAACGGUCCUAAGGUAGCGAAAUUCCUUGUC